GAGGGUAUAGCUCAGCGGUAGAGCACAUGCUUAGCAUGCGCAAGGUCCUGGGUUCAAUUCCCAGUACCUUCA
rnacentral:tRNA from 1 species